GAUUAAUAAAGCUUAAAGCUCUUACUUUUCAAAAGUAAAAUUAAUAUUAAUAA
rnacentral:tRNA from 1 species